UGGGGAAUUUUGGACAAUGGGGGCAACCCUGAUCCAGCCAUGCCGCGUGAGUGAAGAAGGCCUUCGGGUUGUAAAGCUCUUUCGGACGGGACGAAAUGGUUAGCGUGAAUAACGCUGACUGAUGACGGUACCGUAAUAAGAAGCACCGGCUAACUACGUGCCAGCAGCCGCGGUAAUACGUAGGGUGCGAGCGUUAAUCGGAAUUACUGGGCGUAAAGGGCUCGUAGGCGGCCAACUAAGUCAGACGUGAAAUCCCUCGGCUUAACCGGGGAACUGCGUCUGAUACUGGAUGGCUUGAGGUUGGGAGAGGGAUGCGGAAUUCCAGGUGUAGCGGUGAAAUGCGUAGAUAUCUGGAGGAACACCGGUGGCGAAGGCGACAUCCUGGACCAAUUCUGACGCUGAGGAGCGAAAGCCAGGGGAGCAAACGGGAUUAGAUACCCAUGUAGUCCCUGAGCGGGCUGGCAAGGCGCAU
rnacentral:rRNA from 1 species